GCGGGCUGUAGCUCAGUGGCAGAGCCGGGUGCAGCUUCCAGGCCACCAGGUCGCCAGUUCGAUUCUGGCCGCCCGCACCA
rnacentral:tRNA from 1 species